AAAGCUGUAGCUGAGUUGGUCAGAGCGUUCCCCUAUCGAGGGAAGGGUCGCCAGUUCAAGUCUGGUUAGC
rnacentral:tRNA from 1 species